rnacentral:rRNA from 1 species
CUUCUAUGGAGAGUUUGAUCCUGGCUCAGGACGAACGCUGGCGGCGUGCCUAAUACAUGCAAGUCGAGCGGAGUUCCCGUGACGGAAGCCUUCGGGUGGAAGACGCGGGGACUUAGCGGCGGACGGGUGAGUAACACGUGGGCAACCUGCCCGGAAGACCGGGAUAACAUCCGGAAACGGAUGCUAAUACCGGAUAGGCGGUCUUCUCGCAUGAGGGGAUCGGGAAAGGCGGGGCAACCUGCCACUUCCGGAUGGGCCUGCGGCGCAUUAGCUAGUUGGCGGGGUAACGGCCCACCAAGGCGACGAUGCGUAGCCGACCUGAGAGGGUGACCGGCCACACUGGGACUGAGACACGGCCCAGACUCCUACGGGAGGCAGCAGUAGGGAAUCUUCCGCAAUGG